UCCCGAAAUGAAAGCAUGGCCACUGGUAGC
rnacentral:piRNA from 1 species